AAUGAAGUGCCUGAUAAAAGGAUUAUCUUGAUAGGAUAAAUAAUGUUGCCCCCCCAACCUUCAUUG
rnacentral:tRNA from 1 species